rnacentral:rRNA from 1 species
AGUGGCGGACGGGUGAGUAACGCGUGAGAAUCUGCCUUGGGGUCGGGGACAACCACUGGAAACGGUGGCUAAUACCGGAUAAGCCGAUUCGUGAAAGAUUUAUUGCCCGAAGAGGAGCUCGCGUCUGAUUAGCUAGUUGGUGAGGUAAGAGCUCACCAAGGCAGCGAUCAGUAGCUGGUCUGAGAGGACGAUCAGCCACACUGGGACUGAGACACGGCCCAGACUCCUACGGGAGGCAGCAGUGGGGAAUUUUCCGCAAUGGGCGAAAGCCUGACGGAGCAAGACCGCGUGAGGGAGGAAGGCUCUUGGGUUGUAAACCUCUUUUCUCAGGGAAGAAGCUCUGACGGUACCUGAGGAAUCAGCCUCGGCUAACUCCGUGCCAGCAGCCGCGGUAAUACGGAGGAGGCAAGCGUUAUCCGGAAUUAUUGGGCGUAAAGCGUCCGCAGGUGGCGAUUCAAGUCUGCUGUCAAAGCACGGGGCUUAACUCCGUAAAGGCAGUGGAAACUGAAUAGCUAGAGUGCCGUAGGGGUAGAGGGAAUUCCCGGUGUAGCGGUGAAAUGCGUAGAGAUCGGGAAGAACAUCGGUGGCGAAAGCGCUCUACUGGACGGCAACUGACACUCAGGGACGAAAGCUAGGGGAGCGAAUGGGAUUAGAUACCCC